rnacentral:rRNA from 1 species
GGAUGAAUAUUGGUCAAUGGACGCAAGUCUGAACCAGCCAUGCCGCGUGAAGGAUGAAGGCCUUCUGGGUUGUAAACUUCUUUUACCUGGGAAGAAACCUCUUUUUCUAAGAGAGUUGACGGUACCAGAGGAAUAAGCACCGGCUAACUCCGUGCCAGCAGCCGCGGUAAUACGGAGGGUGCAAGCGUUAUCCGGAUUUACUGGGUUUAAAGGGUGUGUAGGCGGGCUUUUAAGUCAGUGGUGAAAUCUC